GACGAACCGAGCGAACGUUGUUCGGAAUCACUGGGCUUAAAGGGCGCGUAGGCGGGCUGUCAAGUUUGGGGUGAAAUCCCGCGGCUCAACCGUGGAACUGCCUCAAAUACUGACGGUCUCGAGGGAGAUAGGGGCAAGCGGAACUAAUGGUGGAGCGGUGAAAUGCGUUGAUAUCAUUAGGAACUCCGGUGGCGAAGGCGGGUCUCUGGGCAGUAACUGACGCUGAGGAGCGAAAGCGUGGGGAGCGAACAGG
rnacentral:rRNA from 1 species